CUCAGAUUGAACGCUGGCGGCAGGCUUAACACAUGCAAGUCGAGCGGUAGCACAGGGGAGCUUGCUCCCCGGGUGACGAGCGGCGGACGGGUGAGUAAUGUCUGGGAAACUGCCUGAUGGAGGGGGAUAACUACUGGAAACGGUAGCUAAUACCGCAUAACGUCGCAAGACCAAAGAGGGGGACCUUCGGGCCUCUUGCCAUCAGAUGUGCCCAGAUGGGAUUAGCUAGUAGGUGGGGUAAUGGCUCACCUAGGCGACGAUCCCUAGCUGGUCUGAGAGGAUGACCAGCCACACUGGAACUGAGACACGGUCCAGACUCCUACGGGAGGCAGCAGUGGGGAAUAUUGCACAAUGGGCGCAAGCCUGAUGCAGCCAUGCCGCGUGUGUGAAGAAGGCCUUCGGGUUGUAAAGCACUUUCAGCGAGGAGGAAGGUGGUGAGCUUAAUACGUUCAUCAAUUGACGUUACUCGCAGAAGAAGCACCGGCUAACUCCGUGCCAGCAGCCGCGGUAAUACGGAGGGUGCAAGCGUUAAUCGGAAUUACUGGGCGUAAAGCGCACGCAGGCGGUUUGUUAAGUCAGAUGUGAAAUCCCCGGGCUCAACCUGGGAACUGCAUUUGAAACUGGCAAGCUAGAGUCUCGUAGAGGGGGGUAGAAUUCCAGGUGUAGCGGUGAAAUGCGUAGAGAUCUGGAGGAAUACCGGUGGCGAAGGCGGCCCCCUGGACGAAGACUGACGUUCAGUUUCGAAAAGCCGUCUGAACC
rnacentral:rRNA from 1 species